rnacentral:rRNA from 1 species
CGAAUCUUCCGCAAUGCGCGAAAGCGUGACGGAGCAAUGCCGCGUGCAGGAUGAAGCCCCUCGGGGUGUAAACUGCUGUCAGGUGUCAGUAAGCAAGUGAACAGCACCAAAGGAAGGGCCGGCUAACUUCGUGCCAGCAGCCGCGGUAAUACGAAGGGCCCAAGCGUUAAGCGGAAUCACUGGGCUUAAAGCGUACGUAGGCGGGUGUGUAAGCAUCUUGUGAAAUCCCUCGGCUCAACCGAGGAAUUGCAGGGUGAACUGCACAUCUUGAGGUCGGUAGGGGUCGUCGGAACGCUGGGUGGAGCGGUGAAAUGCGUAGAUAUCCAGCGGAACGCCAAAGGUGAAGACAGGCGACUGGGCCGAUUCUGACGCUGAGGUACGAAAGCGUGGGGAGCGAAC